AGUAAUUAUGGAUAAUCUUUAUGAUUAUUUUGGUAAAAGUGAUGAAUCGAAAAGGUACGUUGAAGAACAUGGUUUGACGUCAGAGUCAAGACCAGCAAUAUUUGACACCCGUGAUGCUGCUCCAUUUGCUCUACCAAGAGCAUAUGUAACAGUCCAUGUUUAAGCUCUGACGAUAGUUCGAACAAUAGUAGAACUUCUGAGUC